rnacentral:lncRNA from 1 species
CCACACCCUUGCACCCAACCUUGAUCCUCUGAUGGGGAAGGUCCCAGGACUUGCCAGCUGGGACAGGCCUCACCCCCAAGCGCUCUAUGCAGUACUGAGAAGCAAACCUGACAGAUUUCUCCAGAAAAGUGGCCAUCCAUGGAAUGAGUGAAAUACUCUUUCUAUUCCAGGGAUUGCAGAGGCAAAGCUAGGCUAGGUCUUGGAGGCUGGUGGAAGGCGGUGCGGGUAAGGCAGGACGCUGAUGGGAGAGACUGGUCGAAGAAAAGCCGAAAUGGAUUCUCCGUGCCUUGGAUGGAGGAAGAGGGGGGAAGUGCGAGCUCCUUCAACUCGUUCUGUCCGGUGAGGAGUGAUCCAGCUUGGGCUGACAAGAGGCUCCGGAGCCUUCAUGUUCAGUGCUUUUUUACCUGCCAAUCAAACUGCUACAAGACAACACCCUGCUCUGGCAUGGACAUAGAACCUAGAAAUUAUAUUCUCUUCAAGAUCCAUGAAAGAGAACCUGACUGCUUGCUUUGGUCUGAGAGUUCAGACAUCUCUUCUCUUAAGAAAGUCUUCAUUUCCGUUUGCUGAGUCCUCCUGUUUUGUCAUCGCUGGGCCCUGUAAGAAGUUUGCCAGGAGGUCCCCAGAAGUAGAAGGACCAUGCUCUCUAUUCUAAGCUGGCCUUGAACUCAUGACGAAUCAGAGGAUGGCCUCAAUCUGGGAUGGACAUUUCCAGCAGAGAAAUGCUAUCUAGACCAAAGACAUUGUUUUACUAUACAGCCAACGGUUCUUUAAAUGCCCGGCAACCCUCUCUUCUCCGGUGCUUGAUGGUGUGUGUGUGAAGAAGUGUUCCUAAACACCGGCACAAAAGAGUGGGCAUACAUCAAGCAUACAAGAGGUGGAGGAGAGAGGGGGCCUUGCCGAUGCCUCAGAUGAGGUGGUGGAUGAGAAAAGCAGGGGUGGAUCAGAGUAGACACAGCACUCAAAGUCUGGUUCCAUUUCCCAGAAGUAAUCGUUCAGCUUCUACGUGGUUUGUCAUUGCCAAAGUCAAGACUCAAACCCAGGCCCUGACCACCAGAGACUGUCAGUUUUCAAGCUUAAAAAAAAGAAAAGAAAAGAAAUACUUAUUUUGAUUUUCAUUUAAUUUCAUAUUACGCCCAGGAACUAUUUUAAGGAAUUUUGAGUUAUAACCUGUGACCAAAAGUCAAGUAGCAGUUUUUCUAAUGCGUCUGCAUUUGCUAUGAAGAAUCAAAACCAUGAGAGUAUUUUCAUUGCCUGGCACUUUAUAACAAGGUCAGAUUUGGUAUUAACAUGAAAGAACAUUUGAUGGUUUUUAAAGCUUCAAUAUUUAUUUUGUUCUAAAAUAAAGUACUUUUCCCCCUCUCUAUAUUCUUUGUUAUGCAUAAAGUAUUUCUAGGGUUUUUUUUUU